rnacentral:rRNA from 1 species
GAUGAACGCUGGCGGCGUGCCUAAUACAUGCAAGUAGAACGCUGAAGGAAGGAGCUUGCUCUUUCCGGAUGAGUUGCGAACGGGUGAGUAACGCGUAGGUAACCUGCCUGGUAGCGGGGGAUAACUAUUGGAAACGAUAGCUAAUACCGCAUAACAGUAGAUGUUGCAUGAUAUCUACUUAAAAGGUGCAAUUGCACCACUACCAGAUGGACCUGCGUUGUAUUAGCUAGUUGGUGAGGUAACGGCUCACCAAGGCGACGAUACAUAGCCGACCUGAGAGGGUGGUCGGCCACACUGGGACUGAGACCCGGCCCAGACUCCUACGGGGGGCCGCAGUAGGGAAUCUUCGGCAAUGGACGGAAGUCUGACCGGGCAACGCCGCGUGAGUGAAGAAGGUUUUCGGAUCGUAAAGCUCUGUUGUAAGGGAAGAACGAGUGUGAGAGUGGAAAGUUCACACUGUGACGGUAUCUUACCAGAAAGGGACGGCUAACUACGUG